CGGACGUCUCUAAUUGGUCGAGGAUUAUUUAGCUGGAAGAAGGCUGAAGAACUCAUCUCACAAAUUCAUAAGCAAGGCUGUGUUGUGUUGUCUACGUUUGGCUCUUUAUAUCAAUGAUGGUGAACAGCAACAGGGUCUUCAUUGCGCCGUGAUAAAACUAUGUCCAAGGUGGACUGAAGUAUUCUCGAUAUUAGAUUCUCAGCCAGAAUUACUUUUCUUGACUUUGAACAAUUAAAGUGAAAAGACCUCGUACCGCGGAGUGGUAGUAGUUUGGCAUGACCAAAAGCACCAUUGCAAUAUUGCAACGUCUACCCAGGCUGUCCUUCGGCGCCAUCCACUUAGAGCUACUGCACAGAAAUGCGGAUGUUUUGAAGUCCUGGAUCAAGCCUUAUGAAGCAAUAAAUAGUUGUCCCGUUUAAAGUCACAAAAUAACUAGGCACUUAACUAGAGAGAAUUAAUAGAGCAAAGGCGCUUUGAAACUACAAAGCAAACAACUAUCUACUUUAAUUCCAGAAUUUAUCAAGUCUAAUCUUAAAUCUAAAUUGGACUGAAGCACGUUUGCUUAAUAUAAUACAGUAUCCCCCUUAGCUUCUUUGUCUUCCACUAGGAUACAAUUUCCUGUCUUAAUUGCUCCUUCGCUGUGGUUGCAAAAUCUAGACUUCUUGGUAGUUUGUCGGAAUAGUGGUUGCUUGAUUUUUGCAACUCCUGGUCACUCCUUUCACAUCUUAGUUUGGCAUCAGAUUCGGCCUCUUCGUGUAGUGAAUUCGUGAAUACUAUAACUGGGAAGGUGUUCUGAUAGUUUUAUCUUUUGAGGAUAAGGCAGCCUUAUAUUAGGUGGGUUUUUACUCUUACAAUUUCAAGAAAAGGUUUCCUUGUAUAUGCCGUAAGUAAGGUUUCAUAUGACUGUACCGUAAGUAAGGUUUCAUAUGACUUGUUCACUUAGAUUAACUGGAUCUUUUAAAGUCUUGUUAUUACUGAUAACUGUGGGGCUAUGUGUAAAAAUAUUUCUUUGAAUAAUCAGUGUGUUUUAAGAUUUAAAUACAUGAAAAAACUACAGCUUUAUCUUGUCACUUUUUUAGUUUCAAGGAACUGGAUUUGGAUUGUUG